rnacentral:lncRNA from 1 species
AAACCCAAGAAAAGCCUCUGAGCAUAUUGUGAAAUGGCAUGUAACCACAUGUAACUGAUGACUGCCAGUUAGAACCUUCAGCUUUUCUAAAUCUCUCUUCUCACAAGUUGUGGUGGGUCAGGGUUCCUAAACUUGUCUGCACAUUGGAAUCACCUGGGGAGCUUAAAAAAAAAGAGGAAGAAAGUGAUCUCUGUGUUCUACAUCACCCAAUUGUGAGUUAAUUGGUUUAAGGUGUGACCUGGGUGCUCCUAGUUUUAAAAGGUCCCCAGACGAUUCAAAUCUACAGACAAAUCCCACCAUCAGUAUCCCUGUGGUAGAUAGUAUUCAAAGAUGGCAGCCAUGACUACCUCUCUCUUUCUGGACACAUGCCAUUCAUCAGAGACUAUUCUAAGAUGCAGGAAUAAUACCAUCUACCUGGAGGUGGCCUGGAAGACUGCACAGCUAGCUGUGUGGGUGGUGAAGCUAUUGCCAGCUCAGUUACACACUCCCUCUUGUUUACUUUCCUUUUGGUCCUGCUUCACUCUUGCUUCACUGAGAUUACAUCCCACUACCGCCACCUCCACCAAAAAUUAGCAUGCAGUCUUUUGUCUCAUCUUUUUAUGAUGGAUGCUACCUGUGUGCUGCCUGGCUUUGUUGUGACACUCUGCCUGUCCUGCCUCCUCAAGACCAGAUUCUCAUGCUCCAGGUCUUCCUCCCGUAAUAGAUUAUCUAUUAAACUACACCCACCAGGCCUGAGUCAUUUGAAAUCUGAUUCUGAUGAUGAUUGGGAUGGACACAAACUGACCAAUUUAUCUUAGAAUGGGUCUACGCUAUUGCAGAAUCUUUCAAAAGACACUCAGUAGUGGACAGGUGAAGGUGGAAGAAAGGAUUCUCCCUAUUUAUUUCAACAUGUGUUGGCUGGCCUACCUGUUUGUAAACAGUCCCCUGCCAUCCUGUGAGCCAAAUGACGGAGAAAUGGGCUUAGAAUUGAGGGGAAAAUGCUUCCACAUUUUGUGAGCAAUAAGAAAAGGAAAGGAACAAGUAAUGUGAUUCUUUAAAGGUUAAAUAGAGUAAUACCUCCCAACUCAGCUUUGCUGGAGAAAGAGCUGCUCCAUAAGUGAAUUUUAAAGAAAGAUUUUAAGCACCAAAAACUUUGUAAAAACCUAUUUUGACCAUUAUAAGAUUGAAAUCUUUCUAAGAUGUAUUGCACACUCUCCUGCUUUGCUUUCUGAAUCAGAGCUCUCCUAACAUCAGCUAUUUCCUUAG